rnacentral:rRNA from 1 species
UCGGGUUGAUCCUGCCUGAGGAUGAACGCUGGUGUAGGGUAUAAACACAUGCGAGUCUAUUUCACCCGGCCCGGGUGAAAUUGGCGCACGAGUGAGUAAUGUAUGGGUUACCUAGCUCAGCUCCCAAAUUACCGCCGCUUGGAUAGGAGAAGGCCCCCUUGGGGGGCGGACAACCUUCGCCGGUCGGGGGCGGGAGAAGGGCUCAUAUAGCAUUAGGUUGUCGGUAGGGUAAUGGCUUACCGAGCCCAGGAUGCUUAGCCGUGUUGGGAGAUGGUACGGCCACGGUGGAACUGAGACACGGUCCACAGAGUAAUUUCAGCAGUGGGUAAACUUCGACAAUGAGCGCAAGCUUGAUCGAGCCACUACACGUGAGUGAAGAAGGAUUUCUGUAAAACUCAUAUCAAUAGUCCCGGCAAACUUCGUGCCAGCAGCCGCGGUAAUACGGUGGGGGCGAGCGUUAUCCGACAUAACUGGGCUGGGCGCGUAGGCUUUAAGCCAACGGUCGGCCAAUUAGGCUAGUCCCGUUGGUUUGAUUGAGGAGGGCAAACACUACGGCCGUUGAAUGGGGUGUGGAGAGGUCAAAUUCACUGAUAUACUCCGGACGAACAAACGCGAAGGCGGCGGCCACAGCCCAUACCUGACGCUGAGGCGCGGAAGCGUGGGGAGCCAAUGGGAUUAGAUACCCCAGUAGUCCACGCCGUCAAAAACCCCAACCCGCAUUCAUGGCGCUGAGGCCGGCAACCCCCGCUUAAGCGGCGAAGGUUCCGCCCUACGGGCUUCCCCUCCCCUUGGCGGGCCCCUCCGGGUGGGUCCCCCCUUGCCCUCCGGGGCGGGUUGGGGGCCCUCCGGGUUGCCCCCCCUUGUGGGGCGGGCUACGCUUAUUGCUUCGCUUACCCUCCGGGUUGCUUCGUAUUGCUUCGCUUAUGCUUCGCUUAUUAUCCGGGGUUGAACGCUCGCUCCUUCGGGAGUGCGGGUUUUCUAACCCGCCGGGGGCCUACGGGCGGAACCUGACCUUGGGAAGCGCCGUGUCGUCGUUCCUUUAAGUUGUGCGGCAGGGGCGCCUGGGAACUACGGUCGCAAGACUCAAACCUAAAGGAAUUGGCGGUAGCUCAAACAAGCGGCGGAACAUGCUGUUUAAUUCGACACUACGCGAGACACCUCACCAGUGCUUGCUAACACCACACCAUUGGUGACCUCAGGUGCUGCAUGGCUGUCGUCAGUUCGUGGCACAAGCUGUCUGGUUAAUUCCACCAACGAACGAAACCCCAAAAACACCUGCGAAAAGCCCUUGGGAUCACUUCAAGUCAUCAUGGCCCCAAUGCACUGGGCGACAGGUGUGUUACGUUAGCGAGACUAGUCUUCACCCAUAAAAAACUCGCUGGUUCGGAUAGUGGUCUGCAACUCGACCUCUUGAAGAAGGAGUCGCUAGUAAUCGGGGAACAUGUCGCCCCGGUGAAUCGGUCACUGAGCUGUGCACACACCGCCCAUCACGUUCGAAAAGAUACAGUUGGUUAAGACCCCCACCAUGCGCCUCUGGCGUUUUGGGGUUCAACCCAAUUGUUUCAAUUUGAAUGAAGUUGUAACACGGUAGCUGUAGGGGAACCUGCAGCUGGACUGUUU